UACAGAGGUCUCAAGCGUUGUUCGGAUUCAUUGGGCGUAAAGGGUGCGUAGGCGGCGCGGUAAGUCGGGUGUGAAAUCUCGGAGCUUAACUCCGAAACUGCAUUCGAUACUGCCGUGCUUGAGGACUGGAGAGGAGACUGGAAUUUACGGUGUAGCGGUGAAAUGCGUAGAUAUCGUAAGGAAGACCAGUGGCGAAGGCGGGUCUCUGGACAGUUCCUGACGCUGAGGCACGAAGGCCAGGGGAGAAAACGGG
rnacentral:rRNA from 1 species